rnacentral:rRNA from 1 species
GGAAUUUUGCGCAAUGGGCGAAAGCCUGACGCAGCAACGCCGCGUGAUUGAAUAAGCCCUUCGGGGUGUAAAGAUCUGUCAGUAGGGACGAAACUUGACGGUACCUACAGAGGAAGCAUCGGCUAACUCCGUGCCAGCAGCCGCGGUAAUACGGGGGAUGCGAGCGUUGUCCGGAAUCAUUGGGCGUAAAGAGUUCGUAGGUGGUUUGUUAAGUUAGGUGUUAAAGGCGUGGGCUCAACUCACGUAUGGCACUUGAUACUGGCAGACUUGAAUGCGGUAGAGGUAAAGGGAAUUCCUGGUGUAGCGGUGAAAUGCGUAGAUAUCAGGAGGAACAUCGGUGGCGUAAGCGCUUUACUGGGCCGUAAUUGACACUGAGGAACGAAAGCCGGGGUAGCAAAUG